CUGAUUGUUACCACACAGGGGGUGAGGUGGGGGGAUGGGUGAAAUAGGUGAUGGGGAUUAAGGAGGGCACUUGCGAUGAGCACCGGGUGUUGUUUGGAAGUGUUGAAUCACUAAUGUACACCUGGAGCUAAUAGAACACUGUACGUUAUACUGGAAUUAAAAUUAAAAACAUUAGAAGGGGGAAAAUCUGGGGAAAAAAAUAUUUACCAAAAGUUCACGGACAUCUGCUCUAGUCCCCCUGCAGUGGUUGCUCUGACGCACCACCCACUUCCCUCUUUAGCAGUGGAAAUUUAAUUCCUCAGCUGCUGGGAGUGCUGCGGAAGGGUGGUCUCAUCUGCAUUCACCGACUGGUAACACUGAGGCUUCACAGCAUGACCACCUUGCCCCAACCAGGGCAUCUCUGGGAGGCCACCCAGUUCCAGAAUUCUCCACUGGGCUCCCAGACACUAUUUUGGGGCUGCAAUGCAGCUCAUCUUCUUCCUCUGCCCAAUCUUGCCUCCCUUCCACAAGUGUUGAUCCCGGGAGCCCUCCCUGAUAAACAUCGUGCAUUCUAAUCUCACCCUCAGAGUCUGCUUCUGGGGAAUCCAGCCAGCAGCAGCUGUCAUCUCCCUCUGGAGUGUUUAAUAUGGCAGUGUCACAGAUGGAAGGUGCUGGAUCAUCACUGCUUAGAGGACAGUCACUAAGGAGCACCUCCAGACACACUUCACCCUGUGACUUCCAUUGUGUUAUGCCUGUUGGAUUUGGUGUUGUUUGUUACAGCAGCCAGCUCUACUUACUCUGACAACUGUGGUCAGCAAAGCAAGGCUGUGGGGGAUGAGAGGCGUAUGAACACAGAGAGCACAGAUGACACGCUUUCUCAAAGUCACUCUGGAGCAGGUGCCGUCUAAGAGGGUUGGAAGGUCAAGUCAUGUCCAUAACAUAUUGUUCUCUUUUGGUCUCUCUUUUCUCCCUCUCGCCAACCACAUCUAGUGGAAUUCUUCUAGAUUAAAUGUGGGCCUGCUGUGACUUCACCUCCAGCCCUGUUUGGGACUCCACCAUCAAAGCAUCUCUGAACAGCUUGCUUUCUGCAAUAGUUGAAGAACGAGUAGCGUGUGGAUGGCUGAGAGGUGGAUAAGUGGGGGAUCGAAUCAAGCCCAGAUGUCAGUCAGUCUCCCCCCGACCCAAGCUGAGGGCUGGGACAGAACUCAGGGGAAGAGUCUCCAGUCGGGGGGUGGUUCCCGGGAGCUGAACAUAAACAGCCCCGGUGCUGACUGCCCACCAGGCAUGGCUGCACUUGUGUCCGCCCCACUGCAGGAGUGUCUGCAGAGGCAGCUGGAGCCCAAAGUGGUCUUUUGUCUCCCCUCUCUCUGAAGUCAUCCCAGGACACAGGUGUGCAUCCCCCCCAGCCAGCCGACAGAGAAGAUGAAUCAGCUUCCCUGAAAGACGUGCCCCAGAGCAGUCUGUCAGCUGAAACUUGUCUGAAGGAGCACGCUUCCCUCCUGACCACAGCUAAUGAAAAUGUGUGGCUUGCCCGGGGAAGAAUCUAUGCUAUUCUUUAAAGGAACAAUGCGAACCACAGAUGUACAGCAUCUGGCAUACGAUAGGGAUUUCCCUGAAUGAGAACGGUAACUGGACCAGCCAGCUUAUGAGAUGCCUUUGGGUCCAGGCUUGUAUUUUCCUCCUUUUGGCUCUGGAUUUGGGUUCUCAGAAGUUCAGGUGAAGCCCAAGUCACUAUCACUUAGUGUUUUUCAUUAUAUGCGCCCCCCUCCUCAUUUAUCUUCUAUGGUCUUGAUGAAUAUGCUUGAGAUGCCCCCAAACCUAUAUCCCUGCCUCUAAGUCUUUGCUCAUGUCAUUCUCCAUUUCUGUACAGCCUCCCCUUUUUUUUAUGACCAUCUAAUUUGUCAGGACUCUUUCCAUGGAGGUUAAGUGAAGCCCAAUCCAACUUGCUUGAAGCAAAAAACUACAUUUAUUGAAUAACGUAACUUAAAAUCCAGGACCACUUGACUUCAAAGAUAGGUACACCUGGAUCUAGGCAUUCAAAUGAGUUUUCCAGGACCUGGUCUUAGUCUAUUUCUUCAGGUCUAGACUCUGUCUUUUACAUUGGCCCGAGUUUCAGGUAGGCACUGAAUGGGCUCCAGUCUUGCAUGUUACCAUGUUAACUCCCGCGUGGAAAAAGUGAUCCUGGGGAUAGGCCUGAUUGGACCACUUGGGACACAUUCAUGUUUGCCCAAGAAGUAAUCACUGUAAUCGGGGCGAUGGGAUUCCUGUUAUUGUCCAGGCCUGUGUCCCUUGCUCAGCCCUAAGGCUAGGGAGUUUGGUCUUCACCCAGAGGAAAUCAGGAUCCUAUCAUAAGAAUAAGGUUGAAUGGAUGUAGGACAAGUAACAUCAGUAGACACACAACCCAUAGCUUGCUUUUCAAGCUCAAGUUCAUCCCAGGCCACAUUCCCCUCUCUUGCCCCUGCAACACUUUUACAGUUGAAUAUGGGAUUGUGUAUGCCUCCCAGCUUCUCCCGCUGGGACUAGAGGGCAUUCCUGGUAAUAGAAGACAUGGGGUGGGGUGUGGGUAGUACAUGGAGGGCAGGAAUCACAUUGUGUUUCCUUUCCUUGUUUGAAACCCUGUGAAAUCAAAUGGAGACGAGGCAGCUUUGAAUCAGGGGGAAAUAGUUAUAGCAGUUAUUAGUUUGGAGCAGGGAAGAAACGGGCCUUAGUGACAAGGACUGGGGCCAGUUCUACCUGUAUGUAUGAGUGCUUCUCCAUCUCAGGCCCCCCAGUGGCUGCCUCCAGGGUCAGAUGGGAUGCCAAGAUUUGCUGUGAUUUGGGGCCGGCCGAACACUUGUUGAGUCCGUGUGAAUCAUUGAGCUUUUGCCGGUCAGUGCCGUAUGCCUUCUAUUUUUCUUAUAUCACCCUGUGUAUCUAGUACUUUGGUGAGCACCUAACAAUUACCCGACGGGUUUUAUUGUGAAAUUGCGAUGUAGGUGCCAGUGCUCAAGGCUGGAAAUCAAAAGGUGUGGGUUGUAAUCAAGUCUCUUGACUUUUGCCGAGCUAAGUAGCCAUGCCAAGAGAGCACAGAGCAGGAUAACAGCUAUUUUUGUCUAGUGCUUCUGGUUCCCAAUACUUACAUUGCUGGCUCACUUACAAUGACCCUGUGAGAUAAUCCAAAUGCUAUGGGGUAAGCUUCAAGGUUAAGUCUAAGGCAAAAACUGGGUGUAAUCAAAAUUUCCCUGGAAACUCCUAUAAAUCAUCCAUAAAGUACAGUUUAAAAGGUUUUGUGAUUGUGACCAAAUACAGGAAUACUUGUGAAUUAUGUGGAAUGGAUAAACUAACAUAUUGCCUAUUAUUUAGGGAGAGAACAUUUCCCAAAGUGCAAUAUCAAAAUACAGCCAUUUAUGCAUCUAAUGCAGCAAGUUUUUCACAACCAGAAAGGGAGAGAAGAAUAGUUUCACAUCUUUGUUUUUAAGAUCAUCCUGGGACACGUGUGCAUUCAGUGGAUUAUCAAAUAGAAUCUUCUGGACUAUUUAAAUAAUUGUUUUUAUUUCCUUCUCUUUGUGUGAUGCAUUUCCCCAAUCUUAUUUGGUGAAACAUGUUGAUUAUAUAUUUAGAAAGUGUUAGGCAUUGGGCUGGGCCCAGGGAAGUCAAUGGUGAAUAAAAUAGGCAUGGUUUCUGGCCUAAUGGAGUUUAUAGCCUUUGCAGAUUGCUUCACACACGAAGAAACUGAAGCUCAGAGAGGUGACUGCCAAAGAUUUCUCGGGCCAGUAAGGAGCAGGGCUGGGAUCUGAACCCAGGUCUUCUGGCUUUAACCCUAAGUUUUUCCCAACUACUCCCCACUGGCUUCCAUGGUAACUGAAGUCACUCCCAAAGCCAAAGUCAGAGUCCUGGAGUUCAUUACAGCAGAAACAGACCAUUGCAACUGGCCACUUGCCUUGGCAGUUGGGAUCUGGAAUUGAGUUCAUAUUUGGUGUUGAAUCGUACCCUCCAGAAACGGGAUGGGUUGGAAUGGAAUGGUAAUGAAGGCUCUGUUUGCUCCAGAGGGCCCACUCCCUAUUCUGCCCACCAGCCAUCAUGGUUGACCACCCUGUUUAAGCCCCCUAUUGAUUACAGAGGGUUGAUUUCUUCUGAUGCAAGUGGCUAAGCCAAGGGCAGUUACAGCUGUGCCAUAGCCCCCCAAAUUACUGCCUUCCAGACAAAAUAUGUCAGGCAGCCUUCCCAAGAGCCCUUUCCAAGGACAAGGAGGCUGGUCCUGGACUUGCGCCUCCCUUGUUUGGUAUCCAGUGUGUGUAUGUUCCUUCUCCACAUGGACCCCAAAUGGCCUGAGAACCAAGGUGCCCCCUCUCCCAGAGUCCCAGCACCCCCUCCAACCCCCACAUCCCCAUGAGCCUCUCAGGCCCCAUCCAAGGAGCAGCCUUGAGGAUGCUACCAAUGGGACCCAUCGAAAGGCUGUGGUCUGCCCUGGCUCUCAGUUUGCUGACCCAGCCCCCCACCGGGGUUGUGGCGCCAGACCUGGGGCUCCUUCUCAACUGGAGCAACCAUUUGGGUGAGUUAAAGAGCAACCUUCAUACUGAAGACAGUGGUGACUCGGUUCCCAUUCCCUCAGCCAGGGCACAUUUGCCUCUUCAACUCCGUUUCACUGAGGGGAUGUCUACAGCGAGCACGGCCUCAGGUUAGAAUUAAUUCUUUUCUAUUGCUCCUGUCAGAAAGAUAAAAAUAAAGCAUUGAGCUCAAGGAAAGUUGGCUUCUCACACAGACUUGUGUGUGUAGUCUUUGGAGAAAUGUCACUAAUGGUGUUUUAAUAAUGCUUUAUGGGCCUAGAGACCAAUAAGAAGAAGAAGUUACUAUUUACCAAAGCGACUGCUAGCCCCUUAAUGACGGGCUAAGUAUCAGCUAUUGGCAGGAUAUGGAGUGGGUAAGUGCUGUGUAAUUACCAAGCAAAUUCAUCAUUAUUUCUGUCUUAUAAACCAGAAUAUGUGUUAAAUAAUACUUUGGGGCCACUGAAAGUAGUUACCAAGCCCCAUCUCUGUAAGAACAUGUCAUUAUCCUACAGUUGCCCUGUGUUUACUAAGCAAAUCUAUGCAAUUAUUAUCUAAAGCCCAAACCCUGCCCUCACAGCCACAAAAGUGCACCCGAGGGCAGGUCUGUGCGCAGAGGAGGAGCGGCAUGUGCAUGGGGUCAUGCAGGAUUGGGGCCUCCGCUCCCCAAAUUCCGGCUCUGCUCUCAUUCCUGCCCUGGGAAAAAGCCACAAGCAAGGCCUUAUGAAACACGUUGUUGUGUCUUCCCUUCUUCCCCACCCCACCCCAGCCCAGGCCCUGCUCUGGCCUCCCUGCUCUUCUGACCCGCCAGUCCCUACCGCGGGGGCCUGCUGGGACCUCAGCGUCUGGCUGCAGAGGGUUCAGUCCACCAGUUCCAGGCAGCGCUUUCGAAGGCUAACCUCAUGUCAGGAAUAGUGCUGGACUCCGAGGACAUGAAGAUCAACACGAGGAAACUGAGACUUGGGAAGCGAAGCAACCCACGCGAGCCCCUCCCGCUAUCAGGUGGCAGAGUGAGGGUUCAUCCUGAGAUGGUCCUCUGGCCCCGGGUCUCCCAGCCUCGUGCAUCUGCAAAUGGAAAGAAACCCUUCCCAGAGAGAGCUACUUCUUAUUGGGCCACAACUGGGUCACCCAAUUGCCUCUGGUUGCAAAGAAGGAAGCCUGGGAAGGGGAGCAUGGGAGAGGAAGAGCCUCUGCUCGUGAUGUCCUAAGCACUUAGUCAUUGCCUGAAGGCCUCUGUGUCAGACUGCUGUGUCCCGUCUGUGCAACCGGUCAUUCAGAUGAGAAAAUGGCCUGCAAGAGAGAGUAGACAAUGCAGUUGAAGUCACCUAAUUAAUAAGCAUAAGGUCUGGCACUGAAACCGAACACUGAUCGCACAAACACCUUGCUCUGUACAGAAGCUUUCUGGCCCGUUCCUUCCGGCGCUGAGUCUGUUGAGAGGCCCAGGGCAUCCGUGAGGUUUACCAAGCUGGCUUGGCCAGGGAGACACCUCACCCCACCUGUGUGCCACACCCUGGGAACGACCCCACCUGCUCAGGGCUGCAACUGACUCUGUAGAUUCCGUGUGCCUGUGUGUGUGUGUGUGUGUGUGUGUGUGCCAAGACAGAUAUGAAACCUUCAGUUGGGCAGAUAUGCAUCUCAGACUCGAAUCCGCCCCCGCCUCUCGCGCCCAACUCCCGGCUGCUCCCGGGGCCGAGGUGGGGCCGGCAGGGAGCCAGACAGGAGCGCGGUGUUCGCCGCCCAUCGGGUAUUGUCUGACACCUGAGUGGGAUUAAGGGGUGAGCCUUUGGGCUCCAGGGGACGCUCCCUCAGCUGGAAAUGACAAUGAAGUCAGCGAAUUAUCAGAACUUGAAGCGAGGGAGGGAAAUCUCACAGGUGUUUCUGAAGUCCGCGGGGGUCUGUGCGCAAAAACAGAUGCUGGUGGGAGCAGCGAGAAGCCGGAGCCAGGUCUCCCAAGCCAAAAACACUCAGGCUUCAAACAACUGCAAGGUCCCACUCACCCAGACCCCUCCUCGGCACCUUCUGUUCAGGGCCAGCCCCAGUCGAGUCACAGAUCCUUGCAGGGUUUCUGGGGGGCAUGCUGAUGAUAAUAAUGCUGAGGGGCAGUAUUUUCUGAGCCUUUACUAGUGCCCUGCUGAACGCUGUAUAUGCGCACAUCACAUCUGCUACAACAAACGUGUGUGGAAGUGAUAAUGCCACCCUUCUUACUAAGGAGGAAACAGACACUGUGCUUGUAUAGCUUGGUGGGUGUGUGGCUGGCUUCCACCCCAAAUUUCUCCCAUCUUCCACUAGCCAUGGCCCAAGGAUCCAGUGGGCAGUUAAUUGUGCCAGUGACUUGGCUAAGAGAAGGCACGCAAGCUUCACCACCACCCAGAUCUGGAUUCAGAUCCUAGCCUCACCCCAUGCUGGCUGUGACUCCUUGGACACGUUACCUUCUGCUCCUUGAGCUUCGGUUCCGGAUCUGUGGGAUGGGAAUGCCAGUACCAAUCUCUGACACUUGUGCAGAUUCCUGAGUGAACACGAGUGGUAGCUAGAAAUAUGAUUUUUUUUUCCCUAGGACAUUGACCUCUGUGAUCUAGUGCUUCGGUCUUUGAUCAUUAAUGCAGUCAUUUACCUGUCGAUUCAUUCAUCAAGCAUUUAUCGAGCACCCCUUACGUUAUAGAAAGCACGUUCUUUGCGGAAGAUGUGUUCCAUGUGCUGACCAGGUCUUUUGGUUAGGAAGGCUUAAGUCCACAUUAAGUUGGGUUAAACCCACCUACAGUGGUUUCACGAAAGAAGGCGUUAUUUCCCUCCCCUAACCAGAAGUUUGGAGGUGGGGAGUGUGAAGGAGGGUGCAGAAGUCACAAGAUUCCAUCAGGGCCCUAGAAUCCCUGUGGCAUUUUCCUCCACCAGCUCUGGUAAAGCUUUCAUCCUUGAGGUUGAGAGAUGGCUUCCCUGCCUAGGGUUCUUUGGCCACAUCCUAGGAAGAAGAAGGCACAUGUAACUUGUAUCAGAAAAACAACAACUUUUCUGGCGGUCCCCAACAGACUUCUGUUCAUAUGUCAUUGGCCAGAAUUGUAUCCCGUAGUCACCACUGGCUGCCAUCCCAAACGAAGUUGGGGUUCUAUUAGUCAAGAAAAGGGGAGCACAGUUGGUGGGAGGCAAGUAGUUGCAACCCCAGCUGAGAUGCUAUUGAAUGAUAAAAGUGCCUUUAAAGCAAGCGAGCAAGCCUAGGCAACUUGCCAAGCACAGUUGGUGCUUUUACUUAGGUUACUGGAUUUAAUCUCCCUAGAUUCUCACAACAACCAGGUGGAGGAGAUAUGUACACUCUCCCUUCUGUGCAUUUCCCACCCCGCUGACAGUGAGGACUCUAGGAAGGCCAGACCUUUGGUCCAGAGCAGGUGGGUGGGGCUAGCCCUGGCCCUUUCUUCCCUUUCUCCUUCUCUGCAGUGGUGUGGCUGGAGAAAGUACAGGUAAGAUCACGGGCUUUGGAGGUUGGCUGCCCAACUUCCAAUCCUGGCUCUGUACUCUUUGUAUGAUCUUGGCAUGUUUCUAACAGACAAUAGGAGUGGGGAUUUAAAUAAAUUACUACAUGAACAGAUCCUGACAAAAGAGAGCGCACUAUUAAUAUUAGUAAUUAUCUUGUCGGGGAGCAUGGAUUAUAUCCUACAGACAAUGUUGUAAGGCAGGGGUUGGCAAACCAUGGCCAGAGGGCCAACAACUUGUUUUUGUAAGUAAAGAUUUAUUGGAACACAUUUGUGCCCAUCCAUUGACAUGUCGUCUAAGGCUGUUUUCAUGUCAUAAUGGCAGAACCGAGUAGUUGCAAAUGAGGCCUUAGGCCCUACAAAGCCUAAAAUAUUUAGUUUCUGGCUCUUUACAAAAGAAGCUUGCUAAGCCCUAUUAUAGUGAAACAUGCAGUGCCACUUUAACUUUGGGACUCAAAAAGACCAAGAGUCAAAAUUCCUUUUUUUCUGCUUACUAUCUGUAUAUACUUGAGCAAGUAACAACUUUUUAGAAGAACUUUUUUAGUUUCUUCAACUACAAAAUCAGGAAUGGAAAUGUCUUCUUUCAAAGGAUACCUUAAGAUUCGGUGCAACAGAGAGGAGUACCUGGUUUUCAGUUGGUGCUUAAUAAAUAGAACCUUAUUUUCAUUUUUGUGGAAGGAUUUCAAGCAGAGAUUGGUGUCAUCAGAUGUGCAUUUAGACAAAAAGCUUUUGAGGCUGUAUGAGUUUGCUAGGAUAGGUAUAGUAAAACCCUGGACUGCAAAUAACUUGUUCUGCGAGUGUUCCGCAAGGCAAGCAAAUAUUUCUAAUAAAUUUUGUCUUGAUAAACGAGCGACGUCUUGCAAUACGAGUAGUAUGUGAUGUCAAACAUCACGUGAUCACAGCUGCGUCAAUGGGUCUUCUCUCUCUCUCUCUCUCUCUCUCACUGCAGGACUGUGGGUGAUUGUCAAUGCAAUGUCAUAUUUCUGUGAAAUCCUCAAAAGGAGGCAAAAGCAAGUGUCGUUGGAUAGGUUCCUUGUUAAAGUUGCACGAAAAGAAAAAGAUUUCUCUGAGCCAAUAGACAGCAGUGAUUCCAUUAGUGAUAGUGAAAGUGAUCCUACAAAAUAACCCUCCUCUCUCUUGUCUCCCUCAUACCAGCCAUGAAGAUAUUCAAAGACAAGUGUAGGUUAAUUUAUUUUUCUUUAGAUUUUGUAUUUUCUUUAUUAUUUUGUAUUAUAUUACAACAUUGUAAGCAUUUUUAUAUAUUUUAUAUUUUUGGGUUGUGGAAUGAGUCAUCUGAGCUUCUAUGAUUUCUUAUGGGGGAAAUUAGGUUUGAUAUAGAAGUGCUUUGGAUUGCAAGGAUGUUUCUGGAACAAAUUAUGCUCGCAAACCAAGGUCUUACUGUACCACAAACUGGGUGCCUUAAACAAAAGAAAGCUAUCUCACAAUUCUGGAGGCUGGGAUCCAGGUGUCUGCAGGGUUGGUCGCUUCUGAGGACUAUGGGGGGAGAAUCUGUUCUAUGCCUCUCCCCUAGAUGUAGGUAGUUUGCUGGCAAUCUUUGGUGUUCCCUGACUUGUAGACACAUCACCCCUCUCUUUGCCACCUUCUUCGUGUGGCAUUCUCCCUGUGUGCAUGUCUGACUCUGUCCAGUUUGCUUCUUUUCAUAAGGAUGCAGUCAUAGUGGAUUAGGACCCAUCUCAGGGACCUCAUCUUAAACUUUAUCAUCUGCAAAGACCCUAUUUCUAAAUAAGGUCAUGUUCACAAGUAAUGGGGGUUAGGACUCCAAGACCUUUUGGGGGGACACAAUUCAACCCAUUACAGAGGGACUGUUUUGGUAUGGGCAAAAGUGAUGGCAGGACAACCAUAAGAAGGCUCUUUAGAUGACCAAGUAAGUCAGAGGUGGUCAGAUGAGAAAAUGACAAGGAUUGGAAAAGCAUCAGGAAUUAGGGGCAAGAUAGAACUUGGUGACUAUGGAGGGGAAGAGGAGUUGACAAUGACAUUGAGACUUCUUACUUGACCAGUGGUUGAAUAGAUGAAGUGUUUAAUAAAAUUGGGAGGAGACACUUGUUUGGAAAAUAUAAUGCGUCCCUUAAACAGGAGUGUGGUUAUAUGGAGACAAGAGAAGGAAAUCCAAUGGAAAGGGCUGUGGGCAAAAGAACAGAACAUUUACUGAACAUGUAGUAUGGCAUCUAUGAUUCUGGGAUAACAAAUAGUAACUUAACAAGGGAAGGCGUGAUUAAUAACUCUUAAUGGCAAUGUGAAAUCACCCGGAACUGGAGUGGACAGGCUUGGGGGAGGAAUGGAUGUCAGGAGACUGGUUGGAUGUCUUCUGACAUCAUGUCCCUGAACUUCUGUUUAAUAACCAUAUUUAGGCAUUAGUCUUACUUCCUUCCAACAGCUGUCAUUCUAUACUUGUCAGGAACUGCCCUCAAUCCUGCCCAAAUGCUUCCUGUUCUGCCAGGUGAUCACACCUGCUGGAAUCAGGCCAGCCCCACGUGUUGAUUGGUUCCUGCCCAGGCAGAAAAUGCAUCAGAAGCUUCCUGGUUAGGGAACACAAUUUUUUUUUCUUAAAAAAAAAAAAAAAAAAAAAAGCCCAAUCUCUCAUUUCUCAGCAUCCCUGUCUGUAUAAUUGGGAUAAAAAUCUCCACCACACAGAGUAAUAGGCAGGAUUAAAUGAGACGAUGCGGGCAAAACCCAAGCACAGAGCCGGGCACGCUGUAAGUGUUGAAUGCACAUUUGCUUUCUUUAUUGUUAUUUCUGGUGCUUCCAGUCUGUUCUUGUUGCUCUGGGUACUGUUUUCACACUGCUACCAGAAAGAUCUUCCUUAAAACUCAGUCUAAAGGAUUGGUUUUUUCUGUGUUUGUUUUCCAGUACCUAAGGAAUAAGAUCCAAUGAACUCAGGGUGGUCAUCCCCCUCCCUCUCUAACCUCAUCACCCACUGCUGGGCAUCUCCUGAGACCCUCUGCUCCAUCCCCAUAAGACAUUUGACUCUCCCAUGAUUACAUCAAGCUUUGUCACCUCCCCGUGUCCUUUCCUACUCUCCUCUGUUUCCCUUCCCUGGUCACUCCUAGACAUCCUUAGAGACUCAGACCAACUAUGGCCCCUCAACUCUCAAGGUCACCUUCAUCCACUCCUAGGCAAUGUGAUAUUCUCCACUUCAAAACUCUUUGUCCUCAUUAUUGAAAUAGCCCUAACCACAUGGUUUGUAAUGACCUGGUUGCCUUUCUGAAACUGGCAACAUGCCUGCAAGAUGGAUGGUAUUUUCGCUUGGUAAGCCCUCGAGAUUUUUUGCGAUCAAUGCAGGUGUAUACAGAUGCUUUCUGUUGAGAGCACUUCUGUUCAAUCUUUCAUCUGGGAGCUCAUAAAAUUUAGCUAUAUUGGCAACUAAAACACACACCCAAUCUGCCUUCAUGGGACCCACAAUCUGAUUUCUUGUCCAUCUCUCAGAUGAUUCAAAACAAAAAGGAUUUUCCAUUUUUGCUUCUGGGAGUCUGUAUUAUCAAAAUGAUAGUUUCCCUUUUCGCUUUCCAAACAUGAAACUGCCUUAUAAUAUUGAAUUUAUUUUUCCAAACUACAGACGCCACCCUAGAGCUGUACGCUUUCCUUCUUCACUCACGUGCUCUUGUUUAAUUUCAGUUUUUACAAACCUAAGUCAAAUUAGGUCUAUAAUUAAAAACAAAACAAAACAAACUGAUACCCUGUCUCACUCCUCCACCUGAAACCCCUUCCUUACACUCCACCCCCCCCCCCGAUCAUUUCAUAUUGUUUUUCUAAAUUUAUGUUUAUGCUGCUAUCCUUGACUUUUUCGGAUGUCAUUUUUGGAUAUCAUCUUGACUUUAUGGCAAGGAGGUGAAGAUUCAGCAUUCCUUCAGCAUCAUAUGCUUUCAUUUGCCCUUACUCCUUCCUCUCAAUACAGUUACAGGAUAAUGCAUGCUAACUAAAUAAAUAAUCAGUGUUUAGAUGUUUGGCAGCCAUGAAACUCAGCUCCCAACCCACCUUUGGAUACUCUGCUGUGCGAUGCUGGCCCUGGGACUUUGCAAAGCACAUUGUCUCCCUUUCCAGCUGGUAAGGGAAGGACAGCACCAGCCAGCCCACCCUCUUGGCCCAGCUCUGUGGAGGGUUUCUUCUGAUCUUCUUGCUUCUGUAAGACCAACCACUUUUGCACUCAUGAUUUGAGAGGCCACCUUUACCACACACUAGAUUGCCAAAUGUACUUGGGUCUAUUUCUGGGUUUCCAACUGUAUUCCAUUUGUUGAUUCGUGUGUCGGUCCUGUGUUGUUUUCAUUACCCUGGCUUUAAAGUGUGUUUCAACAUUUGGUAGGGCUAGUUCCCCCUGACGUUUUCCUUUUCUAGUGUUUCCUGGCUCUUCUUCCAUGCUUGUUUUUCCAUGGGAACUUUUCUAGUCCUACAGGUGUGGGUGAUUCCGAUAAGGUCAGCAACGAAGAAUGACAACUUUCUGAGCGAGUUCACUGCACUAUUCCAACCAGAGGCACACGAUAGAAGCCUCUCUUUAUCAUGAAAGCUACUCAUCAGUGGAUUUACAUGACUGGUGGUCUAGCUGUCCUAUCCCACUGUGCGGGGGGUCUGUGGCAAACAACUCACAAAGGCAAUGCUAGCUUGGGGAAAAUAUGACUUUUAACUGUAAAUCACAGCCCUUUGGCAAGGAAAGGCGCCGAUAACUUUAAAUGGCUAUUGCAAUCUCAAAACAAAUGGGGUAAGCCUUUAGCCAAAAAGUCACAUUCAGGUUCAGCGAGCAAGUUACUUAGUAGCAGAACUUACUGCCUCCUUCUCCCCCAGGAAAAGUCACACAAUUGGUGAAAACCUAACAAUGCUAGUCAGAUUCAAAUGAGCAAAAUGGUAAGGUAAGGUGUAGGAGGAGAAAUGGAAAAGGCUCUACUUUCAACCCAUUUAAUUAGUCAGUGCACCUAUAGCCUGUCAUGUGAUGAUGAAGAGGUUAGUGUAAUAAACUGAAAAACAAUAGCUUCUCUAUCCAAGCUCAUGAGUCAACAGAUUUCACCCGUAAAUGUCAUGAUGCAGCAUUUGCAAGAUUUGUAAAUGAUGAUGAAAUUCAAGGAAAUUUUUUUUUGCUACCAGAAAAAAUUAUCUGAAACAAGCAAAACCCAUCUGUAUUUCAUAUUUUGUCUUUGUAUCUAGAAACAGAAAGUCUGUCUCGGAGGGAUGGGGUCGGUGGCCCAUCAUUGGUUGUGUUCGUGGCAGGUUUCAACACACAGAGAUUUGGUGCCUUGGCAGAGAGAGAGUUCACAACACGUGUUUGAGCUGGAAAGGGAGAGUCAGGGGGACUCUCAAGAAAGCGGUCGGCCGGAUUCGUUGGGAACUUUGGAGGUGACGAAUGGUCAGAAAUGAGACUACCUAGAAGAUAGCUGUCAUUACGUGGGCCAUGGGAAGACGUCUCAGGAAGGCCUGAGGAGGGCUGUUUUGACUUCAAGUGGCAAGAUUCUUAGGAAGAAUCCUUUGCAAAAGGAAAUCUGGACACAUUUCCAGCGCUGCUUGGGCUUGUGCAAGAGGAAAGAUAUCAGCACCCCUCAAAUCUCAGCAUAAACCACCUCAAGACCUGCGGGACCAAACUGAACAGUAUUUCCUCUCUUUCAACGCAUGUGUAUGAGAGGGCGAGAGGCCCUUUUUUUUCUGAUCUUCUGCUCAGCCCAAGCACUUGGCUUUGAGAAAAGAGGAAGACCUCUGUGAGGGGCAGAUCGUACACUCAAGAUGAGGUUUCCUGAUCUGCCCCUCCCGAGUUCUGGCUUCUGGGACGAGAAGUGUCUGGCCUUGCAUGGGAAAGCAAGGGCCCCUUUGCUGCAAUUUGCAGCUGCCUACAAGUGUGACCGAGUUUUUCCUCAUUUAACAUUCAUCAAAAGCAGGGACAGAAAUGGUCUCACUUCAGCUGGGAAUAAAAUCUGUGUGCUUAUCACAAGUUUGACCAAGAACUGAGUAUUUUUGCACUGAGAACAAUAACACACAGAUCACAUUUCAAAGGUGAAUUUUAUUUUUAAUUUCCAACAUAAAAUUUAUUAUGCACACAGAGGCCUGAAAGAAAUCAAGAAACAAACAUGUGUAUAAUUAUUUUGGAACAGCUAGGUCUAUAGUUAAGUCUGUUUUGUGUUGGUAAAAAAAAAAAUGGGUUUUCAAAUUCUUGUAUACUUUGUCUUAGGCUAUAUUUUUAUUCAUAUUACUUUGGUUCAUAAUUUCCAUACCUUUCCUACUCAACAGUGUCAAUAUAUUUUCAUGUUUUAAAUGGUACUUAUCCAACUAAUUUACAACCCUUAUUUAGAUUAAAUACGUAGGGGCGCCUGAGUGGCUUGGUCGGUUAAGCAUCCGACUUCAGCUCAGGUCAUGAUCUCCCAGUUUGUGAGUUCGAGCUCCACGUCGGGCUCUGUUCUGACAGCUCAGAGCCUGGAGCCUGCUU